UACGACGGGUACGGGUUGUGAGAGCAAGAGCCCGGAGAUGGAUUCUGAGACACGAAUCCAGGCCCUACGGGGUGCAGCCAGGCGCGAAAACUUUACAAUGCUGGCAACAGCGAUAAGGGAACCUCGAGUGCCAGGUUACAAAUCUGGCUGUCGAGAUGCCUAAAAAGCAUUUCAUAGCAAGGGCCGGGCAAGACCGGUGCCAGCCGCCGCGGUAACACCGGCGGCUCGAGUGGUAACCGUUAUUAUUGGGUCUAAAGGGUCUGUAGCCGGCCGGAUAAGUCUCUUGAGAAAUCUGGCAGCUUAACUGUCAGGCUUUCAGGAGAUACUGUCUGGCUCGAGGCCGGGAGAGGUGAGAGGUACUUCAGGGGUAGGGGUGAAAUCUUGUAAUCCUUGAAGGACCACCAGUGGCGAAGGCGUCUCACCAGAACGGACCUGACGGCAAGGGACGAAAGCUAGGGGCACGAACCGGAUUAGAUACCCGGGUAGUCCUAGCCGUAAACGAUACUCGCUAGGUGUCGGCCACGGUGCGACCGUUGUCGGUGCCGUAGGGAAGCCGUGAAGCGAGC
rnacentral:rRNA from 1 species